rnacentral:tRNA from 2 species
UCCCUGGAGGUCCAGUGGUUAGGACUCAGCACUUCUACUGCUGGGGACCAAGGUUCAAUCCCUGGUCGGGGAA